UACGGAAGGCAGCAGUGGGGAAUAUUGCACAAUGGGCGCAAGCCUGAUGCAGCCAUGCCGCGUGUAUGAAGAAGGCCUUCGGGUUGUAAAGUACUUUCAGUCGUGAGGAAGGUGUUAAGGUUAAUAACCUUAGCAAUUGACGUUAGCGACAGAAGAAGCACCGGCUAACUCCGUGCCAGCAGCCGUGGUAAUACGGAGGGUGCGAGCGUUAAUCGGAAUUACUGGGCGUAAAGGGCACGCAGGCGGUUAAUUAAGUUGGAUGUGAAAUCCCCGGGCUUAACCUGGGAAUGGCAUUCAAGACUGGUUAGCUAGAGUCUUGUAGAGGGGGUAGAAUUCCAUGUGUAGCGGUGAAAUGCGUAGAGAUGUGGAGGAAUACCGGUGGCGAAGGCGGCCCCUGGACAAAGACUGACGCUCAUGUGCGAAAGCGUGGGGAGCAAAC
rnacentral:rRNA from 1 species